GUCUUAGUAGUAUAUUAAUUACCUUGGUCUUGUAAACCAAAGACGGAGAACACCACAACCCUCCCUGAGACU
rnacentral:tRNA from 1 species